GAUCAAAUUGUGAAAAUUGUUUCAGGGGAACCCUAUAGAUUGGGUGAGCACACAUAGGUACCAUCAUCAGUUCUGUGAUUCAGAGAGAGACCCUCAUAGCCCCAUUGAAGGCUUUUGGUUCAGCCACAUGAGUUGGUUGUUUGACACAGAUUCAGUAGCUGAAAGGUGUGGAGGGCCUAGUAAUGUGGGUGACCUGGAGAAGCAGCCCUUCUAUCAGUUUCUUCGAAGCACUUACAUUUUGCACCCCGUCUUUCUGGCCUCGAUCUUAUAUUCGUUGGGCGGAUUUCCUUUCGUGGUGUGGGGAAUGUGGCAAUUUGCUCGGUCACAUCUCGAUUUAAUCCGUUAGGCUAUUUUUUCCGCCUCGAGUGUUUGAUAUUGAUGGUCCCCCGGUCUGUGAUCUCAUCUACACAACUUGGGUUUUGUCAUUUUGUACAUGUGACUUAGAGUAUGAACCAUAAAAAAGAAUUCACGAAAAUUGU